rnacentral:rRNA from 1 species
AACGAACGCUGGCGGCACGCUUAACACAUGCAAGUUGAACGACAAGCUUAGGCUUGUAGUGGCAAACGGGUGAGUAACGCGCAGGAACGUACCUGUAGGUGGGGGAAAGCCACUGGAAACGGUGGGUAAUACCGCAUAACCCCCGAGGGGGAAAGAUUUAUCGCCUAUAGAUCGGCCUGUGUCAGAUUAGGUAGUUGGUGGAGUAACGGUCUACCAAGCCAACGAUCUGUAGCUGGUCUGAGAGGAUGAUCAGCCACACUAGGACUGAGAUACGGCCUAGACUCCUACGGGAGGCAGCAGUGAGGAAUAUUGGACAAUGGGGGCAACCCUGAUCCAGCGAUGCCGCGUGAGCGAUGAAGGCCCUUGGGUCGUAAAGCUCUUUUAGCAGGGACGAUGAUGACGGUACCUGCUGAAUAAGCACCGGCAAAAGGCGGGAAAGAAGAAGAAGGAAAAC